AGAGAGGGCUUUGGCUAUCCCUUUUGGGAAGGGCCCCGCGCGGUUUAUUACCUUAUGUGUGGAAGUAAAAGGCUCCCCCAAGGCCAUGGAAACCGUACCCGCCCCUGAGAGGGUAAUUCGCCCCCAUUGGGAUUGAGACCCGGCCCCAGAUUCCUACGGGAGGCAGCAGUAGGGAAUUUUUCCACAAUGGACGCAAGUCUGAUGGAGCAACGCCGCGUGAAUGAAGAAGGGUUUCGGCUCGUAAAGCUCUGUUGUUAAAGAAGAACGUGGGUAAGAGUAACUGUUUACCCAGUGACGGUAUUUAACCAGAAAGCCACGGCUAACUACGUGCCAGCAGCCGCGGUAAUACGUAGGUGGCAAGCGUUAUCCGGAUUUAUUGGGCGUAAAGCGAGCGCAGGCGGUCUUUUAAGUCUAAUGUGAAAGCCUUCGGCUCAACCGAAGAAGUGCAUUGGAAACUGGGAGACUUGAGUGCAGAAGAGGACAGUGGAACUCCAUGUGUAGCGGUGAAAUGCGUAGAUAUAUGGAAGAACACCAGUGGCGAAGGCGGCUGUCUGGUCUGCAACUGACGCUGAGGCUCGAAAGCAUGGGUAGCGAACAGGAUUAGAUACCCUGGUAGUCCAUGCCGUAAACGAUGAUUACUAAGUGUUGGAGGGUUUCCGCCCUUCAGUGCUGCAGCUAACGCAUUAAGUAAUCCGCCUGGGGAGUACGACCGCAAGGUUGAAACUCAAAAGAAUUGACGGGGGCCCGCACAAGCGGUGGAGCAUGUGGUUUAAUUCGAAGCUACGCGAAGAACCUUACCAGGUCUUGACAUCUUCUGACAGUCUAAGAGAUUAGAGGUUCCCUUCGGGGACAGAAUGACAGGUGGUGCAUGGUUGUCGUCAGCUCGUGUCGUGAGAUGUUGGGUUAAGUCCCGCAACGAGCGCAACCCUUAUUACUAGUUGCCAGCAUUAAGUUGGGCACUCUAGUGAGACUGCCGGUGACAAACCGGAGGAAGGUGGGGACGACGUCAAAUCAUCAUGCCCCUUAUGACCUGGGCUACACACGUGCUACAAUGGAUGGUACAACGAGUCGCGAGACCGCGAGGUUAAGCUAAUCUCUUAAAACCAUUCUCAGUUCGGACUGUAGGCUGCAACUCGCCUACACGAAGUCGGAAUCGCUAGUAAUCGCGGAUCAGCAUGCCGCGGUGAAUACGUUCCCGGGCCUUGUACACACCGCCCGUCACACCAUGAGAGUUUGUAACACCCAAAGCCGGUGGGGUAACCUUUUAGGAGCUAGCCGUCUAAGGUGACCAGAGUUUGGG
rnacentral:rRNA from 1 species